rnacentral:rRNA from 1 species
UACGUAGGUGGCGAGCGUUGUCCGGAUUUACUGGGCGUAAAGGGAGCGUAGGCGGACUUUUAAGUGAGAUGUGAAAUACUCGGGCUCAACUUGAGUGCUGCAUUUCAAACUGGAAGUCUAGAGUGCAGGAGAGGAGAAUGGAAUUCCUAGUGUAGCGGUGAAAUGCGUAGAGAUUAGGAAGAACACCAGUGGUGAAGGCGAUUCUCUGGACUGUAACUGACGCUGAGGCUCGAAAGCGUGGGGAGCAAACAGG